rnacentral:rRNA from 1 species
AGCGAACGCUGGCGGCAGGCCUAACACAUGCAAGUCGAACGAACCUUUCGGGGUUAGUGGCGGACGGGUGAGUAACACGUGGGAACGUGCCUUUAGGUUCGGAAUAACUCAGGGAAACUUGUGCUAAUACCGAAUGUGCCCUUCGGGGGAAAGAUUAAUCGCCUUUAGAGCGGCCCGCGUCUGAUUAGCUAGUUGGUUGAGGUAAUGGCUCACCAAGGCGACGAUCAGUAGCUGGUCUGAGAGGAUGAUCAGCCACAUUGGGACUGAGACACGGCCCAAACUGCUACGGGAGGCAGCAGUGGGGAAGCUUGCGCAAUGGGCGAAAGCCUGACGGAGCCAGGCCGGGUGAAUGAUGAAGGUGGUAGGAGGGGAAAAUUCUUUCACCGGGGACGAUAAUGACGGUACCCGGAGAAGAAGCCCCGGCUAACUUCGUG